rnacentral:lncRNA from 1 species
GGCCGCCGCGCACCUGGGACCCUGAGCUGCGUGCGGCCUGGGAGAGACCGCGGAGAGCUGGAAUUUUUGGACCGGCUACGCCAAAGUAUCUCCGCGAGGGCAGAAAGUGAGGGACCGAACUUGGGACACCGGGGUCCGCUCACCCUCCGUGGCGCUUAGACCUGUAGGGUCAGGAAGGAGUAGAGGAAAAGAUGUGGACAGGAAAAGACUGAACCCGGGCAAGAAUUGCUCUCAGGGACUGCAGGAAGGAGCAGGAUCAACGCAGAGGACCCGAAGUGUGGGUGUUAAACUCCGAUUAAAACAUAAAACUCCUUCCCCACUUGCCUCGGUUUCUU